rnacentral:rRNA from 1 species
AAACUGUCCGAAAGGAUAGCUAAUACCCUAUAUUGCCUUUUGUCACUAAGGCAAAAGGUGAAAGCGAGGCUGUCAAAGGCUUCGGCUCAAAGAGGGGUUCGCGUCCUAUCAGGUAGUUGGUGGGGUAAUGGCCUACCAAGCCAAUGACGGGUAGCUGGUCUUAGAGGACGAUCAGCCACAGCGGGACUGAGACACGGCCCGCACCCCUACGGGGGGCAGCAGUGGGGAAUCGUGGGCAAUGGGCGCAAGCCUGACCCCGCAAUGCCGCGUGAGGGAAGAAGCCCUUCGGGGUGUAAACCUCUGUCAGAUGGGAAGAUGGGACUAGGGGCUAAUACCUCCUAGUCUUGACGGUACCAUCAGAGGAAGGGACGGCUAACUACGUGCCAGCAGCCGCGGUAAUACGUUGGUCCCGAGCGUUGCGCGAUGUUACUGGGCGUAAAGCGUCCGUAGCUGGUUUCGUAAGCGGAUUGUCAAAGCCCGAAGCUCAACUUCGGCAAGGCAUUCCGAACUGCGUUACUUGAGUCCUGUUCAGGUAGGCGGAAUUCCCGGUGUAGCGGUGAAAUGCGUAGAUAUCGGGAGGAACACCAGUGGCGAAGGCGGCCUACUGGGACGGUACUGACGGUCAUGGACGAAAGCUGGGGGAGCAAACCGGAUUAGAUACCCGGGUAGUCCCAGCCGUAAACGAUGGAUGUUAGGUGUAGUGAUAACUUCGCUGCACCCCAGCUAACGCGUUAAACAUCCCGCCUGGGGAGUACGGGCGCAAGCCUGAAACUCAAAGGAAUUGGCGGGGGCCCGCACAACCGGUGGAGCGUCUGGUUUAAUUCGAUGCUAACCGAAAAACCUUACCAGGGUUUGAAAUGGUAGGAAAGGCUGUCGAAAGAUAGCCGUGUUUCCCUUUUGGGAAAAAUCCUACCACAGGUGGUGCAUGGCCGUCGUCAGCUCGUGUUGUGAGAUGUUGGGUUAAGUCCCGCAACGAGCGCAACCCUUGUCCUUAUUUGCUUCCUCGUAUGAGGUGCUCUAUAAGGAGACUGCCGGCGACAAGCCGGAGGAAGGAGGGGACGACGUCAGGUCAGUAUGCCCUUUAUGCCCUGGGCUACACAGGCGCUACAGUGGCAAGGACAAUGAGCAGCGAGAGCGCGAGCUCAAGCUAAUCUCACAAACCUUGUCGUUAAUUUGACUCAAUAUAG